UACAGAGGGGGCAAGCGUUGUUCGGAAUUACUGGGCGUAAAGGGUGCGUAGGCGGCGCGGUAAGUCGGGUGUGAAAUCUCGGGGCUUAACUCCGAAACUGCAUUCGAUACUGCCGUGCUUGAGGACUGGAGAGGAGACUGGAAUUUACGGUGUAGCGGUGAAAUGCGUAGAUAUCGUAAGGAAGACCAGUGGCGAAGGCGGGUCUCUGGACAGUUCCUGACGCUGAGGCACGAAGGUCAGGGGAGCAAACGGG
rnacentral:rRNA from 1 species